CCGUCCUUAGCUCAGGUGGAUAGAGCAACGGCCUUCUAAGCCGUAGGUCACACGUUCGAGUCGUGUAGGACGGGCCA
rnacentral:tRNA from 2 species